UGCAGCUAUCUGCUCCCCUAAGUCCAUUUGCUUGUGGUACAUGCAGCCUAAAAUGUGCUGCUUGUGACAAUGAAGGCAGCUGUGGGAACAGCUUAGCACACUGAGAUAGUUGAACCAAGACCUGAAGCAGCCUCUGCGUCUCACGCUUCUCCCGUCUUUGUGAACACAGAGGUGGGGCAGUCCUCCAUUACUCCAUCUUAGAGCCAGAGACAAGUGAAGGAGAAUCAAGAGUCUAGGUAAAAGUCAAGGAUUGCUGGAGCUGUCAUGGGAGCAGGAGCACUGGAUUCUCUUCUGUAGCCGCUUCCAGGUGAACUGUGGAGUAGGUGAAACAGCUGAAGUGGAGUCACACCUUUGAGUCCUGGAAAAUAUCUAUGUGGUUCUUUUUACCAGUGAGCGAGAGAAAUCCCCAGAACUCUGGUUAAUCGGUGCUCUUCUCAAGAGGCAACUGUGGGAUACGGUGAGAUGAUGGGAGAGGCGAAGGACAGGAAAAUGGCUUUUCUCCCACUUACAGGGAAGCUGAGCCCUUCUCAGACCAUGUCCUUUACCAUUGCUAUCUGAAGAGGAUGAUGUCUCACAAAGAAAAAAUAACGAACAGGGUGGUGUCUCUGGCUGAGGCCUGCCAUCUGUCAGACUGUGGACAAGAAUGUAAUUGAAUUUAACCUUAGUUUGGAAGGUUAGAGAUAGAUUAGAUAAGUGGGAAAAGGCCUCUCCUCCCAUAUCCUGCUCAUGGAAUGUAGGAAGUGACUAAAAUAGGGAACAUGGGAAGUUUACUGCUUGGGUAUCAAGGAUUUGGUUCCGUAGUAUUUUUAAAAAGUUCAGGAACCAUGUUGCAAGAAAAGUCCAUUUCAAGAUGAAUUAAGUGAUUUGGAGAUUUCUGCAAAAACAAUUUUCCCCAUUUACAUUUGUCAUUCAGUAAACAAAGAAUCUCAUUCAUUCAACAGAAAUCUAUUAUUUUGUUUUCCCAGUGCAAAUAGAAUUAUUAAAAUACUACUGACUUAUUCCUCUGGCUGCUGCUAGGUAAUUCGCUAUUUUCCGCUCCUUUUGAUGACUCCAGUAUUUUACAAAAGAGCGGUCUGCUUUUGACUGUGAACUGAACAUGCACGGAUGACAACUGUGUACCUUCUUUUCUACCCAGCAUGACACACUGUGUUGCUAGAAACACACAUACAGGGUACCUGAUUAAUUUGCUUUCAGGUGGUAGGAAAAGAACAAAGAAUAAAGUAUUUCUUAAAUAUAUAAUCCAAUGAACUUCAAGCUCGUUAAUGAGUUCAUAGGUCUCUUGUGGGCACCCAAAUCCUAUUAAUGGCAAAAAAGAGAACAUGCAUUUAGGCCACAUGAAAACCUGAAGGCAGACCUGUGUGUCCUCACUCAUUGUUCACAAGGGGCUUUUCUGAUUGAGGGUCUUACCUCUGCAUUGACUUAAAGAGUCAUGGGGCUAAGGCUAUUUCCUCAUUCAGAAUCUGUUUCCUUGUCCUGGUCUAUAAAUAAUCCUUCUGGAUAAACAAUGAAAAUGAGAGCCCUUUCCUACUGGAAAAGAAGGUUUAACACUCCAUUUCCUUAUUUUUGAAAACUCACUGUAGUCCCUCUCCUCUGUGGAUCACUGAUCUUCUGUGAACCAGCCCUACCUCCUGCAAGUACAGACCAAGGAGCAUCACAUGUGGAAGGUGUGGCAUAAUAAUGACUGGCAUGUCCUAGCUAGUUGAAAAGUACGGUUUGUUCUUCAUUUGUUGUUUUUAGAAAUGCAGACGGAUGAAUAAAAAUGUUCUUUCCAAAAUAUGGAAUUAAAAUAAGAAAGUAGCUUUUUUUUCCCUGUAUGAGUACCCAUUAUUAUACUUUCACAGUUCUGACAUCUAAACAGGGUAGAGGAUGUCAUUUAAUGUGCCGAAAGCAAAAACAGUCCUAGUCCCAAAAGAAAUCACAUCUUAGAAGCAAAGCCGACCCACCUGUCACGUGACACUCAGUGAGCACAAGCAAAGGAGGAAGCUGGCAAUGGGAGUCAUCCUCAGAGGUGUGUAACAGUACAGGCCGAGAUGAGAGGAUUGGAAACCCAGGCAUUUGGCUUGAUCAUUUUCAAGGAGCCUGUUAAAGUGGGACAUGAACAAAGUCUUCAUUCUAGGGUGCAAAUCUACCACAAUGCUUCCAAGCUGUCAAAGAUUUCCCAUUUUUUCUUGUUCCUGUAGCCUGGCUUGGUGAGCAGAAAGUUCUGGAGCUACUGCCAAUUAUUACUCAGACAUUGAUGGGCCAGAGUGUUUAACAUCUGUUUCAGAAGAUGUGCAGUUCAGGAGUCCAUGCUUUCCUGUUGAUUUCUCCUUAUCAUUCUCCCUUCUCCAUCUCUCUCCCACGUCUUUGGUCCUCAGAAGUUUCUUCUGAAUGAGU